rnacentral:rRNA from 1 species
UGGGGAAUCUUGCACAAUGGGGGCAACCCUGAUGCAGCGACGCCGCGUGAGCGAUGAAGCCCUUCGGGGCGUAAAGCUCUUUCGACCGGAACGAUAAUGACGGUACCGGGAGAAGAAGCUGCGGCUAGCUACGUGCCAGCAGCCGCGGUAAUACGUAGGCAGCAAGCGUUGUUCGGAGUUACUGGGCGUAAAGAGUGCGUAGGCGGUUUUCUAAGUUCGGUGUGAAAUCUCCCGGCUUAACUGGGAGGGUGCGCCGAAGACUGGGAAGCUGGAGUGUGGGAAAGGCAGGCGGAAUUCCUGGUGUAGCGGUGAAAUGCGUAGAUAUCAGGAGGAACACCGGCGGUGUAGACGGCUUGCUAGACCAUAACUGACGCUGAGGCACGAAAGCGUGGGUAGCAAACA